rnacentral:rRNA from 1 species
AAGGUGGGGAUGACGUCAAGUCCUCAUGGCCCUUAUAGGUGGGGCUACACACGUCAUACAAUGGCCGGUACAGAGGGUAGCCAACCCGCGAGGGGGAGCCAAUCCCACAAAGCCGGUCGUAGUCCGGAUCGCAGUCUGCAACUCGACUGCGUGGAGUCGGAAUCGCUAGUAAUCGCGGAUCAGCAUGUCGCGGUGAAUACGUUCCCGGGUCUU